rnacentral:rRNA from 1 species
GAUGAACGCUGGCGGCGUGCCUAAUACAUGCAAGUCGAACGCUUCACUUCGGUGAAGAGUGGCGAACGGGUGAGUAAUACAUAAGUAACCUGGCAUCUACAGGGGGAUAACUGAUGGAAACGUCAGCUAAGACCGCAUAGGUGUAGAGAUCGCAUGAACUCUAUAUGAAAAGUGCUACGGGACUGGUAGAUGAUGGACUUAUGGCGCAUUAGCUGGUUGGUAGGGUAACGGCCUACCAAGGCGACGAUGCGUAGCCGACCUGAGAGGGUGACCGGCCACACUGGGACUGAGACACGGCCCAGACUCCUACGGGAGGCAGCAGUAGGGAAUUUUCGGCAAUGGGGGAAACCCUGACCGAGCAACGCCGCGUGAAGGAAGAAGUAAUUCGUUAUGUAAACUUCUGUCAUAGAGGAAGAACGGUGGAUAUAGGGAAUGAUAUCCAAGUGACGGUACUCUAUAAGAAAGCCACGGCUAACUACGUGCCAGCAGCCGCGGUAAUACGUAGGUGGCGAGCGUUAUCCGGAAUUAUUGGGCGUAAAGAGGGAGCAGGCGGCACUAAGGGUCUGUGGUGAAAGAUCGAAGCUUAACUUCGGUAAGCCAUGGAAACCGUAGAGCUAGAGUGUGUGAGAGGAUCGUGGAAUUCCAUGUGUAGCGGUGAAAUGCGUAGAUAUAUGGAGGAACACCAGUGGCGAAGGCGACGAUCUGGCGCAUAACUGACGCUCAGUCCCGAAAGCGUGGGGAGCAAAUAGGAUUAGAUACCCUAGUAGUCCACGCCGUAAACGAUGAGUACUAAGUGUUGGGUGUCAAAGCUCAGUGCUGCAGUUAACGCAAUAAGUACUCCGCCUGAGUAGUACGUUCGCAAGAAUGAAACUCAAAGGAAUUGACGGGGGCCCGCACAAGCGGUGGAGCAUGUGGUUUAAUUCGAAGCAACGCGAAGAACCUUACCAGGUCUUGACAUCGAUCUAAAGGCUCCAGAGAUGGAGAGAUAGCUAUAGAGAAGACAGGUGGUGCAUGGUUGUCGUCAGCUCGUGUCGUGAGAUGUUGGGUUAAGUCCCGCAACGAGCGCAACCCCCGUUGCCAGUUGCCAGCAUUAAGUUGGGGACUCUGGCGAGACUGCCGGUGACAAGCCGGAGGAAGGCGGGGAUGACGUCAAAUCAUCAUGCCCCCUAUGACCUGGGCUACACACGUGCUACAAUGGACAGAGCAGAGGGAAGCGAAGCCGCGAGGUGGAGCGAAACCCAUAAAACUGUUCUCAGUUCGGACUGCAGUCUGCAACUCGACUGCACGAAGAUGGAAUCGCUAGUAAUCGCGAAUCAGCAUGUCGCGGUGAAUAAAAUCUCGGGCCUUGCAC